rnacentral:rRNA from 1 species
UGGGGAAUAUUGCACAAUGGGCGCAAGCCUGAUGCAGCCAUGCCGCGUGUGUGAAGAAGGCCUUCGGGUUGUAAAGCACUUUCAGCGGGGAGGAAGGCGUUAAGGUUAAUAACCUUGGCGAUUGACGUUACCCGCAGAAGAAGCACCGGCUAACUCCGUGCCAGCAGCCGCGGUAAUACGGAGGGUGCAAGCGUUAAUCGGAAUUACUGGGCGUAAAGCGCACGCAGGCGGUCUGUCAAGUCGGAUGUGAAAUCCCCGGGCUCAACCUGGGAACUGCAUUCGAAACUGGCAGGCUAGAGUCUUGUAGAGGGGGGUAGAAUUCCAGGUGUAGCGGUGAAAUGCGUAGAGAUCUUGAGGAAUACCGGUGGCGAAGGCGGCCCCCUGGACAAAGACUGACGCUCAGGUGCGAAAGCGUGGGGAGCAAACAGG